UCGAGCGAGAAAUCUUAGUUUGACGCUUCGGUUGAUUUCUAAGAUGGACAGCGGCGUAAGGGAGAGUAACGCGUGAUACGUACCCUCAGGCCCGGGAUAGCUGCGGGAAACUGCAGGUAAUACCGGAUAACAUCUUCGGAUCAAAGGUGUGAUUCCACCUGAGGAGCGGUCCGCGUCCUAUUAGCUUGUUGGUGGGGUAACGGCCUACCAAGGCAUUGAUGGGUACCGGGUGUGAGAGCAUGGCCCGGCUCACUGGGACUGAGACACUGCCCAGACACCUACGGGUGGCUGCAGUCGAGAAUCUUCCGCAAUGGGCGAAAGCCUGACGGAGCGACGCCGCGUGCGGGAUGAAGGCCUUCGGGUUGUAAACCGCUGUCAGAGGGGAGUAAGUGAAGGGGGUUAUCCCCUGGAUCUGAACUAUCCUCAGAGGAAGGACGGGCUAAGUUCGUGCCAGCAGCCGCGGUAAGACGAACCGUCCAAACGUUAUUCGGAAUCACUGGGCUUAAAGGGUGCGUAGGCGGCCCUGCAAGUUGGGUGUGAAAUCCCACGGCUCAACCGUGGAAUCGCGCCCAAAACUGCAGGACUUGAGGGAGACAGAGGUGAGCGGAACUUAUGGUGGAGCGGUGAAAUGCGUUGAUAUCAUAAGGAACACCGGUGGCGAAGGCGGC
rnacentral:rRNA from 1 species